rnacentral:lncRNA from 1 species
UGUUCCCCCUCCAUUUAGCUGCCCUAAAUGCUCACUCUGACUGCUGCAGGAAGUUGUUAUCCUCUGGCUUUGAAAUAGACACCCCAGAUACGUUUGGAAGAACGUGCCUCCACGCCGCUGCUGCAGGAGGCAAUGUAGAAUGUAUAAAGCUCUUGCAGAGCAGCGGAGCGGAUUUUCACAAAAAGGACAAAUGUGGGAGGACCCCUUUGCACUAUGCAGCUGCAAAUUGUCAUUUCCACUGUAUUAAAGCAUUAGUGACCACCGGAGCCAAUAUCAAUGAAACAGACAACUGGGGACGGACAGCUUUGCACUACGCUGCUGCAUCAGACAUGGAUAGAAAUAAGAUGAUCUUAGGCAACGCCCAUGACAAUUCUGAAGAACUUGAAAGGGCCAGGGAAGUGAAGGGGAAGGACGCCGCGCUAUGUCUAGAGUUUCUGCUUCAGAACGAUGCAAACCCAUCCAUCCGGGACAAGGAAGGCUACAAUAGCAUCCAUUAUGCUGCGGCCUAUGGCCACAGGCAGUGUCUAGAACUGCUUUUGGAAAGAACCAACACUGGUUUUGAAGAAUCAGACGGCGGUGCUCUCAAGAGUCCACUCCACUUAGCGGCCUACAAUGGGCACCACCAAGCCUUGGAGGUCCUUCUCCAGUCCCUAGUGGACCUGGACAUCAGGGAUGAGAAAGGCCGGACGGCCCUGUACCUAGCUGCUUUCAAGGGACACACAGAAUGUGUGGAAGCACUUGUU